ACUUGAUAAUCUCCCCCAGACUUUGUGAUCUCCCCCAGACUUGCUGAUCUUCCCCUGACUUGCUGAUCUCCCCCUGACUUGCUGAUCUCCCCCUGACUUUCUGAUCUUCCCCUGACUUGCUGAUCUCCCCCAGACUUGCUGAUCUCCCCCACACUUGCUGAUCUCCAUCUCGACAGGUCUGUAAAGCUACAAAUUCUCGACCUGAAUAAUGACAUUCAUGCACUAUGCAAAACAGCUGGGGUUCUAUCCAGGGUUUUCGCAAGAAAGGAUUCUAACCUUUCAAUCCUUCGCUAAAAUGUAGUUUGAUGAUGAUGGCACAAAUGGAGGUCUACAUGCUACUAUAGGGCAAGUCAUGGAUUGCAAAGGAAGAGCACAAAUUGAAUUCAUUUCACUUACGCUGCCUAAGAAGGAUUCUGAAAAUCAUCACAUGGAAGAGUAGUAACACUGAGAUACUCUCUCGAACUGGACUUCCAAGCAUUUUUAAACAUUCUCAGGCAACAACGCCUGCGCUAACUGCUCACAUUCGCCAGAUGGAGAAUGAGGUAGCCUGAAAAUUAUCCUUUAUGGACAACUUACGAUGAGCACAUGUAAAACUGGUCGUUCUCACCUCUCCUAUCACUGGGAUCUCAAAGUAGUAGAAAUGCCUAUUGUUUGUUUGAAAACCUAACUCUAGACCGCAUUACGUAGAGAGAAGAAGCUAAUAGUCUUUAUCGUUUCUAGUCAUUUAAAAUAUACUCACAAUUCGACAAAACAUUUUUUUCUACAUAUUAAAAUAGUCUGAAAGCAUAGACGUUUCAAUACCAAUAUGUAAUGGGUAAAUCGGUUGUGUUUCUACUUUUCGAAACAAUUGUCAUGCAUUCCGAAAUGUUAGUAUUUUCAAAAAGUGGAUUUGUUUUUCAGUCAAUGACCAACAGCAUGUAGCUGAACUUAAAACACAAAUCGAGAAACUUAAUGAGGAAUCUGCACAAUAUCAAGCAAAUCUGGAGGUACAAGAAGCUAAGAACAAAAAACUAACGUCUAAAUUAGGGUUCUUUCCUAGAGGGUUUUUGAAAAGAGCUAAAAGAUUUCUUAAAGAAUCACGCAAGUCUCCUAUCAACAUUUUCCUAUUCGGACUCUCUGGUUGUGGUAAAAGUGCCGUGGGAAGCUGUAUCCUUCAAAGGAAAUGUUUUAAAAGAAUCGCUUCCCUGCAACAAGGAACCAAGCAAGUACAAUGCGAGGUGGGAGAGUACAACGGGCGGAGAAUAAACGUUUUUGAAUGGCCAGAUUUUUGCUCUAACAACGACAAGAAACAAUCAGAAUCUUUCAUCAAGACGCUGAUGCCCUGGGUAUUAGAAAAAUGUGCCAAUGAUU
rnacentral:sRNA from 1 species